AGCAGCCGCGGUAAUUCCAGCUCCAAUAGCGUAUAUUAAAGUUGUUGCAGUUAAAAGCUCGUAGUUGAAUUUCGGGGUUAGUAGGUUGGUCAUGCCUCUGGUAUGUACUGGUCUCACUGAUUCCUCCUUCCUGAUGAGCCGUAAUGCCAUUAAUUUGGUGUUGCGAGGAAUUUGGACUGUUACUUUGAAAAAUUGAGUGUUUAAAGCAAGCUAACGCUUGAAUACAUUAGCAUGGAAUAAUGAAAUAGGACGUUCGAUCCUACUUUGUUGGUUUCUAGGAUUGACGUAAUGAUUAAUAGGGAUAGUUGGGGGCAUUAGUAUUCAAUUGUCAGAGGUGAAAUUCUUGGAUUUAUUGAGGACUAACUACUGCGAAAGCAUUUGCCAAGGAUGUUUUCAUUAAUCAAGAACGAAAGUUAGGGAUCGAAGACGAUCAGAUACCGUCGUAGUCUUAACCGUAAACUAUGCCGACUAGGGAUCGGAUGGAUGUUUAAUUUUUAAUGUACUCAUUCGGCGCCUUAAA
rnacentral:misc_RNA from 1 species